CGGCGGACGGGUGAGUAACGCGUGGGUAACCUGCCUCAUACAGGGGGAUAACAGUUGGAAACGGCUGCUAAUACCGCAUAAGCGCACAGUACCGCAUGGUACGGUGUGAAAAACUCCGGUGGUAUGAGAUGGACCCGCGUCUGAUUAGGUAGUUGGUGGGGUAACGGCCCACCAAGCCGACGAUCAGUAGCCGACCUGAGAGGGUGACCGGCCACAUUGGGACUGAGACACGGCCCAA
rnacentral:rRNA from 1 species